rnacentral:rRNA from 1 species
UCUUCCCCUAGGCUCUCCUCCUUGUCCCGCCACAUCCGCCGCGCCGCCACCGCCUAGCCACCAUCAGGAUCGUACGGCUGACUAAAGGGGCAGAGAGGUCACUCGUCCAUUUACUUAGGAGGUAUCGAACGGAAAUGUUAUCAACGGCGGGGGUUGAGGGUGAGGGCAUUAAUCAAUGUACUGUCCUAAAAGCAAGACUAAACGAUGGUCUGACGGUUAGAAGAGUCUACUCCGUAGAUCACGCCGCUUCCACGAUCCAUACUAACCGUGUCCCUCCUCACCCCCUCCCCUCCCAAAGUCGAUUACCUAGCGCGCCUCCGUAGCAGACACCUAACCCGUAGUCAAGUGCCCACUUGACAAGAUUAGACAAGCCUCUCCUUCGUUCACAACUACGAUCCACGCCACCCAACAGGCGCAAGUCGCUCUCGCUCCCGCUGUUGUGAUUUUUUUAACUCUUACCUCCGGUGGUUAGAGCACGACUACCAGUGGUCCUUCGAUAAUAAACGCUAUCUCGUCUUUCACGUCUACAUCCAAGACGAGUUAGAUGUCCUUUCCGACUAGGAGUCCGGGGUCCCACGUGCUUCUCCCAUUCUCAACCAUUUGUCGAAGAUCUGUUUCGAGGCACGCGACUUUCUCAUCCUCGCGACCUCUUCUGGUAGUCCCCGAUACGGUUUUGUGAACCCCUAACACACCAACUCGGUAGUCAACCAGAUUGCAAGCUGAGGAACCCGCUCCGCAUGCUAAAAAAGUUAAACAUAAGGACCCUCGACCCAAAGCCGUAUUCCAUGCCGUUCUCGUCCGAAUUAAGUCUCUUCUGUUUUACGUACGUCCUCCAACAGACGCCCACGAGCUAGUUACAGCUCGUUACCUCUAACACUAGUCCUUACACGAUGGCUGUUGGUGCGUAGCGACCACGUUCACCGUACACGACUUCUUCACGUUCCUCUGUGACCCAGGUUACAUGUGCUUUGUCUCACUGAAGGCUCGUCUCAAAGUGUUCCAACAGUAGGUGUACAACUGUUAAUUGCUCAAGCUCCUGCGAACCUUUUACGAUUAUCUCUUUAUGUCAAAUGUCUCAGUGUGUAUAUACUGGGUUCAGAUACUCUAUUCCCUCUUUACCCGAUUCGGAAUAAAAGUCCCCCAUAAAACACGCUUUUACUGAUCGUGCCUCUCCUCACUUUCACGGUUGUCAUACGACUUUUGUAUACACGACGGUCCCACAGGUUACGUGUACAAACACUUUGUGAUAUACGCAGAGGUCAGGCGCUCCCUGCGUCUCCUCUCAAUACUCCUUUUCGCAUUAUUUCACCGGCCUCAACACAAGUUCACGUUAUACAGUUGUCUCUCUGUACCGUCGUUCCACAUGUGUACACGUUACUAGCUCGUCGAUCCACUCGACGAGAUGGUUCGAUUGCGUAUAGCUUAACUUCUCAACCUAUUCCCAUCUAACAUGUCUCGGUGUGUGUGCGUCCGACUCUACGCGCUCUUCACCCGUUCCCCUCAAAUGCUUCACUUCUACGACCUACUACCAGCAAAUAAACUCACACUUACACCAGACAAACUUGUGUACCCGUACGGCACGACGGUGUACGAUUUCCAAUACCUACAAGAACCAAUGUGACUCUAGGGCCUCUUCAACUAUAACUUCUCCACCUGUUCCCUACGUUCCCUACAAGAAGACAGAGUAAACGUUCAGAUGGUUUCUCCGGUACGUUCGUCAUCCUAUUACUGUGUGGCCGUGUGUUCAGAUAUGUACGUGCGUUACCUCAACCAGGCAGACCCGCUACGUAGGCAUCUUCGGAUACUCUUUCCCUACUCUUAGUAAUCCCUACCAUAAUGACGAGAAUGACCGAUACUUAGGGUCUCCCUGCCCGAUCGAAACCUCCUGUCCGGACUUCGAGUGGCACCACGGCCUCUUUUUACGCUACUACCACCUGAACAACGUGGGCAUCUUUCCGUCGUCUACCUACAACUAUGAAAGCGACCGGAUCUACGAGGCCUCUUCUCUUUCUUCGUUCCCGCGGGUUGUUCGUCGGCGCUCUUCCGAGGCAUACUUGUCAACUCAUUCUCCUGUUCCAAGACGGCGUAUACAUCUCCCUCACCCGUGUUCUUUUGCUGUACGGGCCUCGCGCCACUAGUGGGCUUCUUAGGGUCCUUCGUCCGUUUUACGUCGUUGACACCACAUCUUCCUGUGUUCGUAUUGUGGACGUGCUUACGUAAACGACAAUUCAACGUACGCCCACCACAAAUUAACGCUACGGGAGACUGUCAAAAAAGGUAUCCAAUAAAAUCUUGCAAAAUACAAACAUCUCACUUAACUACACACUGAUCUACUCGAAUUGAGGGUGGCAUAACAACAACUGGCAAUACAUAAGGCUUCGUUUGUCAACGUUUCCUCCGUACCUUCUAAACCUUGACGCACUCGCUUACCUUCCCGAGACACUCUAUGCAUGUGACGAACCGGUAAUACACAAAAAAAGAAAAAGGCAAAUGAGACACCGACGCUGAAUUCCCAAACUUAAAACUUAAAACUUGAUGACCUGUCUCGACAACGCGAUCCAACCAAGUCUAUCCACCCCGUGAUUUGUCCCCUCCGAGAGACGGAAAUUUAUACCAGGUCGGCGUAUCGCACGAGGGCUCAUGUCAAGUGUGCGGUUUAUGAGUUUUUUCGAGCUCCAUGGUUCGAUCUGUAGGCCCCCUCUGUCUUCUAUUACCACGACAGGUAGUCAACCGGCUCGAGGCCGUAGGAGUGGCUCCCCAAACAGACCUCGGAGCUGUCACUGGACAAACGUGUCACCGACCCGAACAGAUUGUCGCCGCACAUCACGUAGCGCCCUCCGCCGUCGAGCCAACUACCAGUUCUACCAGUCUCGUACCCGCUCCACUUGGUCCCCCGCCUAGUCCGCCGACUACUAGAGCACCUCCAACUUCGACGGGGACGUCUACAAGAAGGUCUAUUGGUCCUGCCUCGUCGGCACCACCUCUUGGUCCGCCAUCUAAAGCCCGACCUCCACCACCGCCUCGUACUGGACCUGCGCUUCCCUCUCCUACCUAACCACCUCAGCCGUCUCGAACUCCUCAAGCUACUCAGUCACUACAAAACCUCACCACUCCUCCUCAGACUCCUACUUCUACUCCACACGAGGAGGCGCGUCUUCGCAGGAGUAGACUUGAUCAAAGUUCUUUCUGCUGUAUUAGACUAUUAACUAGCCAGCUUUCAUCAAAUCUCAUCAUCUUCAAUCGUGCACAAAUCGUGAACGAUCAACAACUGAAUGACAGUUGACAAACCCUCAGCAGGCCAUAAAACCUACACCGUUGUGUACCAACAUUAUAGAAUAGCUAGCCAGGGUACAAACCUUUUCAGCG